rnacentral:rRNA from 1 species
GACGAACGCUGGCGGCGUGCUUAACACAUGCAAGUCGAACGGAAAGGCCCUGCUUUUGUGGGGUGCUCGAGUGGCGAACGGGUGAGUAACACGUGAGUAACCUGCCCUUGACUUUGGGAUAACUUCAGGAAACUGGGGCUAAUACCGGAUAGGAGCUCCUGCUGCAUGGUGGGGGUUGGAAAGUUUCGGCGGUUGGGGAUGGACUCGCGGCUUAUCAGCUUGUUGGUGGGGUAGUGGCUUACCAAGGCUUUGACGGGUAGCCGGCCUGAGAGGGUGACCGGCCACAUUGGGACUGAGAUACGGCCCAGACUCCUACGGGAGGCAGCAGUGGGGAAUAUUGCACAAUGGGCAGAAGCCUGAUGCAGCAACGCCGCGUGCGGGAUGACGGCCUUCGUGUUGUAAACCUCUUUCGCCUGUGACGAAGCGUGAGUGACGGUAAUUGGUAAAGAAGCACCGGCUAACUACGUG